rnacentral:rRNA from 1 species
GAUGAACGCUGGCGGCGUGCCUAAUACAUGCAAGUCGAGCGAACGGACGGGAAGCUUGCUUCUCUGAUGUUAGCGGCGGACGGGUGAGUAACACGUGGAUAACCUACCUAUAAGACUGGGAUAACUUCGGGAAACCGGAGCUAAUACCGGAUAAUAUUUUGAACCGCAUGGUUCAAAAGUGAAAGACGGUCUUGCUGUCACUUAUAGAUGGAUCCGCGCUGCAUUAGCUAGUUGGUAAGGUAACGGCUUACCAAGGCAACGAUGCAUAGCCGACCUGAGUGGGUGAUCGGCCACACUGGAAAUGAGACACGGUCCAGACUCCUACGGGAGGCAGCAGUAGGGAAUCUUCCGCAAUGGGCGAAAGCCUGACGGAGCAACGCCGCGUGAGUGAUGAAGGUCUUCGGAUCGUAAACUCUGUUAUUAGGGAAGAACAUAUGUGUAAGUAACUGUGCACAUCUUGACGGUACCUAAUCAGAAAGCCACGGCUAACUACGU